rnacentral:rRNA from 1 species
GAUGAACGCUGGCGGCGUGCUUAACACAUGCAAGUCGAACGAGAAGUGAAGACGGAAACCUUCGGGCGGAAGGCUUUAUUUCGAGUGGCGGACGGGUGAGUAACGCGUGGGUAACCUGCCUCAUACAGGGGGAUAACAGUUGGAAACGACUGUUAAUACCGCAUAAGACCACGGCACCGCAUGGUGCGGGGGUAAAAACUCCGGUGGUAUGAGAUGGACCCGCGUUCGAUUAGCCAGUUGGCGGGGUAACGGCCCACCAAAGCGACGAUCGAUAGCCGAUCUGAGAGGAUGACCGGCCACAUUGGGACUGAGACACGGCCCAAACUCCUACGGGAGGCAGCAGUGGGGAAUAUUGCACAAUGGGGGAAACCCUGAUGCAGCGACGCCGCGUGAGUGAAGAAGUAUUUCGGUAUGUAAAGCUCUAUCAGCAGGGAAGAAAAUGACGGUACCUGAGUAAGAAGCCCCGGCUAACUACGUG